rnacentral:tRNA from 1 species
CAAUUUAAAUUCUAUUAGUUAGAAUUUUCUUUUACAUUGAAAUAAAAAUUGUGCAAUUCAAUUUAAAUUGA